AACGUAGGAGACAAACGUUAUCCGGAGUUACUGGGCGUAAAGGGCGUGUAGGUGGUUAUGUAAGUCUGGCGUGAAAUUUUUCGGCUUAACCGGGAAAGGUCGUCGGAUACUGCAAAACUAGAGGACGGUAGAGGCGUGUGGAAUUCCGGGUGUAGUGGUGAAAUGCGUAGAGAUCCGGAGGAACACCAGUGGCGAAGGCGACACGCUGGGCCGUACCUGACACUGAUGCGCGACAGCAUGGGGAGCAAACAGG
rnacentral:rRNA from 1 species